rnacentral:hammerhead_ribozyme from 1 species
ACCCAGCUGAUGAGUCCUAAAUAGGACGAAACACGCGUCCUGCAU